rnacentral:ncRNA from 1 species
AAAAAACCGAGGACAAGAACGAGUAAUCCGUGAAAGCUCCGUCAAGAGAAGGUCUGGCCGGUGAAAAGACCAGGGAGCGUCCGGACGAAUGCCUCUUGGAGGGCCAGCCUGAAAUUCAGUAGGGUGGACGCAGCCGGCGUUAACGGAAGAAUGAGCGGAACAGAUCAUCUCUGUUCAAUAAAAGUGGAACCGCGCCUGAAGCGUCUUUUAA